rnacentral:lncRNA from 1 species
UGUUUUCCUGUUUGUAAAGCAAUAUUGGGUCAGCUGGCUAGAGGACGAAUAAGAAUAUAUUUUAUACUGAACUUACAUGAAGCCUGAUGUGCUUUCUCUGGAUAUCUCCAAUCUGCCAGAUCAUCCGUUUGCCAUAAUUUUGACUACUCUCCUGUUGGCCUUGAUGAUCACUGGAGUCCCAGGAGUUUCAAACCCUGCCUCAAGAAAAAUUUGGAUGUAUUAGAAAAAAAUGACAGACUUCCUUGGUUAAGUUUAUCCCCUUCAGAAUGCCAACAAGUGCUGAGAAUGCACACAAGAGCUCUCAACCAUUUCAUGCUCUCCUAUACACCAAAAGCCCAAGAUAAAAAACAGAAAUCACUGGUAAGUUGUCCUUGGGUGCCAGCCAGUUAACACAACAAGAGUAC